GUGCAGCAGGCGAGAAUUUUUCUCAAUGGGGGAAACCCUGAAGGAGCGACGCCGCGUGGAGGAUGAAGGUCUUCGGGUUGUAAACUCCUGUCAUUUGGGAACAAGGUGUGCGCGUUAACUGCGCGCGCAUUGAUAGUACCAGGAGAGGAAGAGACGGCUAACUCUGUGCCAGCAGCCGCGGUAAUACAGAGGUCUCAAGCGUUGUUCGGAUUCAUUGGGCGUAAAGGGUGCGUAGGCGGCGCGGUAAGUCGGGUGUGAAAUUUCGAGGCUUAACUUCGAAACUGCAUUCGAUACUGCCGUGCUUGAGGACUGGAGAGGAGACUGGAAUUUACGGUGUAGCGGUGGAAUGCGUAGAUAUCGUAAGGAAGACCAGUGGCGAAGGCGGGUCUCUGGACAGUUCCUGACGCUGAGGCACGAAGGCCAGGGGAGCAAACGGGAUUAGAUACCCGUGUAGU
rnacentral:rRNA from 1 species